rnacentral:rRNA from 1 species
UACGGGGGGAGCAACCGUUGUUCGGAAUUACUGGGCGUAAAGGGCGCGUAGGCGGUCCUGUAAGUGGUGUGUGAAAUCCGAUGGCUCAACCAUCGAGCUGCGCUCCAUACUGCAGGACUUGAGUACAGCAGAGGAAAGUGGAAUUCCCGGUGUAGCGGUGAAAUGCGCAGAUAUCAGGAGGAACACCGGUGGCGAAGGCGCUCUGCUAGGCCGCAACUGACACUGAGGGACGAAAGCUAGGGGAGCGAAUGGG